AAUAUUUUUUUCAGUUUAUUUGUUCCAACAUGAAACUGUUACUCUGUUUGUUGGUGUUGUUGCCAUUGGUCUUCGGUGCUAGUAUUGAUCAAGAGAGGGAAGUUAGAAAUGCAAUUGACACCUUAAUGACAGCCGCCAAGGGCUUGGACUGCGAGGCCCUUUGCAAUACAGUUAAUCUAGGUUUUGAUUGUGGUGCCAUCUGUGCAAAUGUUCCCGAUUUCGGUGCAGCGCUUGGUAAGAAAUAGAAGAAAGACUUGAAUGGUCAUUUGUUUAAUUGAACUAAAAUAAAUGAUCAUAACUGUA